CGGCUUACACAUGCAAGUCGAACGGUAACAUCUGGUGCUUGCACCAGAUGACGAGUGGCGCACGGGUGCGUAACGCGUAUGCAAUCUACCUUUUACUGAAGAAUAGCCCAGAGAAAUUUGGAAUAAUCCUUCAUAACAUCAUUUAUCAGCAUUGAUUUAUGAUUAAAGCUCCGGCGGUAAAAGAUGAGCAUGCGUCCUAUUAGUUUGUUGGUGAGGUAACGGCUCACCAAGACUACGAUAGGUAGGGGCCCUGAGAGGGGGAUCCCCCACACUGGUACUGAGACACGGACCAGACUCCUACGGGAGGCAGCAGUGAGGAAUAUUGGACAAUGGAGGCAACUCUGAUCCAGCCAUGCCGCGUGCAGGAUGACUGCCCUAUGGGUUGUAAACUGCUUUUAUAUAGGAAGAAACACUCCCACGUGUGGGGGCUUGACGGUACUAUAUGAAUAAGGAUCGGCUAACUCCGUGCCAGCAGCCGCGGUAAUACGGAGGAUCCAAGCGUUAUCCGGAAUCAUUGGGUUUAAAGGGUCCGCAGGCGGCCUGUUAAGUCAGAGGUGAAAGCCAACAGCUCAACUGUUGAACUGCCUUUGAUACUGAUAGGCUAGAGUUAUUGUGAAGUGGUUAGAAUGUGUGGUGUAGCGGUGAAACGCUUAGAUAUCACACAGAAUACCCAUUGC
rnacentral:rRNA from 1 species